AAAAAGUCGAGGUAGGCAAAGCCACGGCCUUUGGUCCUGAUGAUGUCAACAGAUUCAAUCUCACCAUCCAUUUUUGAGAAAAUUUUUUGCAAAUCAUCAGUAGUCACGCUCUCCCCUAAUCCUCCCACGUAGAUUCUUACUCUUGUUCUUGUGAAAUUGUCGUCUCCUCCCAUAUCUUUCUUCUUUCUUCCUGCGGCGAUUUCCUGCAUAAAU
rnacentral:misc_RNA from 1 species